rnacentral:lncRNA from 1 species
CUGAUUUUCUCUGUUUUGGGCUGUGGGUAUUUGGGCUUAGUUUUGGGUUUAGGCUAGUUGGGUUUCUGUAACUUGGGUUGAGGAUUUAGGGUCUGCUUGGUUUGGGACACAUUGAGCCCGGUGUAAAGGGACUAUUUUUAGACUUUUAAUUUUAGUUUUAUAUUUAUUAUAUAUAUAUAUUUUUUUUGUUUAUUUAUUUGGGCCGGGCAAAAUUAGGGUAUUACACACUUGAUUUGAAAGGCCUUUCUUAAUCGUC